rnacentral:lncRNA from 1 species
CCCCGAGGAAGAACCGGGCUUCCGAGCCGGGCUGCGGGCUGCACCCCGGGAGGAGCCGGGGCCUCUGGAGCGGGGCUUCGCGCUGCGCCCUGCACCACGGGGAGGAGCCGGGCUCCGCAGCGGAGCUGUGCAGCCCUGGCGGCGACUCGCCGAGGGGCUCCACUGCCGCUGGAGCCAGGCUGAACUCCAGAGUCUUUAUAGAGGACCCUGUUUGCUGCUUCUGUGGCUCACAGCUCUCACCCUCCUGACUGCCCUGGGCCC